UUUUGUCCUCCCCUCCCCCAUCUUCCCCAUCCCCACGACUGAAAAAAUUGCGGAAAUCGAUCGAAAUCGCAAGUCGAAAACCCCCCAUCGAGCGACGCCAAAACGGAGAGGAGAAUAGGGAAAAGGCGAGGGCGAAGGUGCAGCGACGGCUACCGGCGCGAUGAAACCGUCGGCGUCCAAGAAGAAGGCCAAGAAGAAGAAGAAGCCCUCGCCGCCGCCGGCUGCGGCGACGGCCCCUGCGCCGGCGGAGGGGGUGGCCGAUUCGGAGGCCGGGUCGCCGGGGCCCGAAACCCUAACCCUAGCAGCGGCCGCCGCGGCGGUUUCGGAGACGGAGUCCAGCAGCAGCUGCGAGGCCUCGACGUCCCCGUCGACCUCCUUCGCCGCAAGCUCCUCGGGGGCCGCCUCGACGUCAUCCUUCUUCGCCUUCUCGUCGUCUGGGUCCACCGCCUCCUCCUCGGUCGCGGGGGAGGAGCGGCGGGACCUCGCGUGGCUGCUCGACGCCUUCGCCAGCGCCACCAUCGACCAGGUCGAGUCCGCCUACCGCGAGGCCGGCGGGGACCCCUUCCGGGCGGCUGGUAUCCUGGGCUCCACGCAGGACACGCAACCGCCGCAGCCCCCUCAGCCGGCCCCGCAGCCUCCGCCGCCACCGGAUCUCUCGCCGCGCAGUGGAUCUGGUGGAAGGAAGGCUGGUCGGAGGCCCAAGAGGGUUGCGGUUGCCGCGACUGGCAUGGUCGCGGACGUCAUUGGCAAGGACUACACCCGGCCGGCCACUGCCCCUGUGAGCUCGCCAAAUGCGUGGAAGGGUAGGGAUCAGGAGAGAGAUGGCGGGUCUGGUGCCCGCAAGUAUAGUGUGGAAGAGGCAGAGCAGUUCCUGUGCUCCAUGCUUGGGGAUAAUUCCGAGCUUGGCAUGGGUGUGGUUAGAGACGUGGUUGGUCAGUAUGGGUCUGAUGUUGAGAAGGCUUUGGAUGCAUUGCUUGAUAUCUCUGGUGUGUCUUCCAUCCAAAACAUGGAAACACAACAUCCAAAUGCUGAAAGGAACAGCACUCGGUAUCUGACUGUGUUCCCUGGAAAUGGUCAAUCCGUAGUCAACCUGCCUGCAGGCAAUAUAAGAAGUCCACGCCAGUUGACGGAUCAGGUAUCCAACACUAUUCUCCAGUCUGAAUUAGGACAUGAGUUUCUUUGGGACGAACCCCAGAUCAGCUAUGCAAAGGCUGUGAUGGAGGCUCCACGUUCGUCAACAUUGCCUUCGAGGUCAACUGAAGUGAAAGCCAACCCUCAGCAGGUCCUGGAUUCACUGUUUAAAAUUCCUGAAAUGCGCACAUAUGAGCCAAGUUCAAUGGACUGGAAAAAGGUAGUAAAGAAGCUGCAGUCAUUUAAUUCUACUGCCACGUCAAACAAUCAAGAAAGGCCUAAAGCUGGGGAUGGCUAUCGGGAGUUCCGUGGUGUGGCUGCGAGGCAUUAUGAUAAAAUGAAAGAAUACUAUCAGAAAGCUGCCCUCGCUUAUUCAAAAGGAGACAAAUCAUAUGCUGCUUACCUUGCUGAGGAGGGUAAACAUUAUCGGGAACUGGCCUGCAUGGAAGAUGAGAAGGCCAGCAGGAAUAUAUUUGAAGCCAGUUUGCUUCUGAGAGCUAAUAUUCUUCUUGCAGAAAUAAGCAUAUAACAAACACAGUAACUAUCGACUUGCACGGUCAACAUGUCCAACAAGCCAUGAAGCUUCUCAAGGUUCACAUGAUGAUUUGUAUUUGCAUGCCAUCUGUAUUGCUGAGGGUUAUUACUGGUUGUGGUUCAGAAGGUACAGGGAAGGGAAAAAUAAAGCGAUCGGUUAUAGAGCUUGCUGAGAAGGAACUUAUUGAGUGGCGUGAAGAUAACUCUGGAACCAUAGCACUUCGACUUGGUGGGCCAAGAGAGUACCGCUUUCUUGAAUAUGACAGCGAUUCUGACUAAGCGGAAGCCUUUUCAGGAGACUUGACAUAGAUUAACAUUCGUUCUAAUCUAUGUAUCUCAGUAUCUAUCUGUAUUUACCUGUGUUGUAAUUAUGGAUAGGCGACCUAGGCUCUGAUGUAGGAGGUAGCUGUGACACAGAAGUUUAGUUCAAGUAAUUUAUUAUGGUGGUAUGUUGAUCCCCGGCUGCUAAUAGUUUAGUGUAGUCUGAAGCUUUGUAUACCUGUCCAAUCGUUAGAUGUGCUUCUGAAUACAAUGUAUUACAGGAGCAACAAUCAAGUGUAACAUUAUAUCAUGAUGAUGUUCUGUAUCAUGCUGUGGCGGAACCAAAUAUACUCGGUUC